GGGCAGAAAGGGUAAGUCAUUGUACAAGGGAUAGGUGGCUGUGUGAGGGGCAGGAAGUGGCGAGCUGGAAGUGCAGAGAGAGGGAGAGAAAGAGCCAGAGCUGUGUGGAGUGACUCAUGGAACUGCAAUAUAGCGAAGGUCUUGACGAGUGUUGCCAAAGGAAGAUCAGAUCUCCCUUACCUAAGAAGAACUUUGGUGAACAACCAGCAAAUAUUCUAUAGAACUGAAGAGAAAAGUACAGCAAAAUUUAGACUUCCAGUAAGCCUGUACUGGAGGGGAUUUCAACAAAUCCAGCGGAACCAAUCUCUAACAGGUUUAUUUCCGUGCCAUCCUUGUCUCCCCUUCUUGGAGUCACACAGCUGCACCCAGCACAGCAAGAGAGGCUUGUUUCUUCUUUCCUGCCCCUUCAGGCUUUGACACAGAUAUUCUCUUUCUCCCUAUGUUUGUGUGUAGAUAAGUGUGGAAAGGGAGAGGAAGAGGU